CAGCAGCCGCGGGAAUACGUAGGUCCCGAGCGUUGUCCGGAAUUACUGGGUGUAAAGGGAGCGUAGACGGUUAAACAAGUCUGAAGUGAAAUGCCGGGGCUCAACCCCGGAGCUGCUUUGGGAACUGUAGAACUGGAGUGUCGGAGGGGUAAGCGGAAUUCCCAGUGUAGCGGUGAAAUGCGUAGAUAUUGGGAGGAACACCGGCGGCGAAGGCGGCUUACUGGACGACAACUGACGUUGAGGCUCGAAGGCGUGGGUAGCAAACAGGAUUAGAUACCCCCGUAGUCCCUGUCUCUUAUAC
rnacentral:rRNA from 1 species